rnacentral:lncRNA from 1 species
AGCUCGGGGAAGGCGAGGCGGCUAUCCGAAGGAGCAGCGCCCUCAUCUAACCCCGCUUUUCUUUUCCUCAGCAGGCAGCGAGGGGCGGGGGGGAGGGGGGAUCGUUUUCUAUAGUGUGUCGUACUGCAGUGCACGCUCUCCGCCUCGCCCCCCUCAUCGUCGGGCAGGCCGGCUGCUCAGUGCUGUGGUGCGUAGAGGGAACGGCCGUGCGGCGGCUCCCGGGAGACCGCGGCCCCGUGGAAGAGCAGCAGCAGCAGCACGACUCGCCUGCAUCAGCCGCGGCCGGGCCCGGGCCGUGCUCGUUUGUGUGCCCAGCUCAAGAGCGUUUCGGAAGAUUUACGUGGAUGGGUGCCAGACGAGGUUAAUGGGCAAAAAUCGUUUGCAGACAUUGGAACCUUAUCUUAGACUGGCCUAAACACGACCAGACUCAUGUAGUAUCAAAAUGUAUCAAAACAAGCAGCCAUCAUAAUCCUUAAGGAUAAAAUACAGGAAAAAAAAAAGCAAAUUACUAUAUCAUUUUAUAUAUUGCGGUUUAUACACAAUCAAUCAUGAAACUUAGUGAGAUUCUGCUGUGAGAUAGGCUUGGGAUCACACUGGAAGUUAUUUGCUUUCCAACACCUCUGAAGUUAAGUGCAGGGUGUCUCUAAGAGUGUAGAGAUAAUUAGAGGAGAUGACAUUUUGUAUGUUGGAAAUCACAUGGAAAUUAAAAAGUACUGUUAAAAUGACAAGCUUAGUGUAAGACUCAAAAACAUGCACGAGACAGAUUUCAAAUGUCUUACUGAAAAAAGCUCAAGUGGAUGUGCAUAAAGAAAAAGGGAUAUGUGAGUGAUUUAGAUGUAUUAGAGCAAAUGUAUAAUGUAUUUCUUGUGUUUCUUUAGUAUUUUAUAAUUUUCUGUGUGAGAAACCUUACACUCUUUCAGUCUCUUUCCUCAGCUGAUCAUACAGUAUAGCAUCACCAUGCUUAUUUUUAGCAUCACAUUAAUUUCUGUAGUAAUAAGGGAUUAUCUCACUGGAGGGAGGUGAAGUAGAAAGUUUCUCAUGAGACAUCUAUAGGAAAGACCAAAAAAAGUAUUGGCUUAAAACCUUCCUUUUGAUUUGACAUUUAUUCUUCCAGAAGGACUUGCCUGCUGAUUUUCUGGGCUUUAUGGAGACUCAUCAUUAAAAACAUCUUGGGCUGUUUUGGUUUGCCCUAGCUGGUGGGAGGAAUCUUUUAUUCAUUCUUGAGGAGUGUAUAACUUUCUGAAAUGUGACAUAUCCCAGGUCUGUAUGGGAUCUCUGUUAAUGUAUUGCUGUUAAAGAGGAUAUUUUUUCAAUUAUUUGUACAUUUUUCUACGAUGAAGUGUUGAUAUGUUCAUACUGCUAUUCUUUUGAUGUCAUAGACUGCACAUUUUUCUUUAAUGAUUCAGUAAAAUGCAUGUCUCCUUGAGAGCAGGCAUGUUUUUUUGUCACUUGAAAGCGCAAUUGUUUACUUGACUGAAAAGCAGUGUACAGUACAGCUAAAACAGGCAGUGGUACAGGAUGGCACAAUAGCAAUUCUGAGUUCAGCAUUGUUAAUGAAUAGCUGAACAGCCAGGUUAUAUACAGUUUGAUUAUAAACCUUCAAUUAGAAGCCAGAAAAUGAGUUAUGUUAGAACUUCUGCUGUGAAAUGACUGCACUUACAAAAUGAACAAUAAUUUGAGUGUCUUGAUUAAAUUAUUACUGAAGCUAUUAUAAAACUUGCUCUAUUAAUAAUGAGUGACGGCUAAAAAUAAGAAAAUGAAUGAAUGAAGUAUCACUAGAUCUACCUUUGAAUAUUUUUUCCCUUCACUGUUUUCUACUGUAUAUAUUUUAUACAGUAGCUUAGUGUAGAUCCCUUAUCAUAUGUAAUUGAACUUGCUGAUUUGCUCUCUCCCUUUUCUCUAGAAAUCUCUCUCUAAAACUGUUUUGCUCAAUUAAGGAGUUCCAUGGGUGGACUCUUAGUUCUUUUCAGAGCGAUUGUCACCUGAGAAAUUAUUUCCAGUAUGAAUCUGCAAAUCAGUUAAAUGGAAUACUUUGAACAAUGUCAACUUCCUACACUAUGUGGGUACAGUUUUAAGGAGAUUUUGUCAUUGUAACAACUUCUACGAGAGAAAAAAUACAUUUACCUUUGCAAUGUUUUCUCUUUGUGCAGUUCUGAAUAUCUGGUUUUUUGUCCAACACUUUAGCAUUUCUAAUCUUACCAUUCAUCUUUUGUUUUAUGAUUAUUGCACUUUCUGAUUAAGAAUAUAAUAGUGUUAGCAUCCCACAUGUAGGAUUAUAGCAUAACUUAAUUCCUGAUGUCAUUCCUUUAUUUUCUCUUCUGUGUCCUUUCUAUUCUUCUCUCGCUGUCCCUCUCAUCUCUUUCACCCUCCCUUUGUGGAAAGAAUAACUUUCAGGUGUUAAUUUAACUGGUGGAUUGGUUUACUGAUGAAGACUCCUUGAUUUAAGGGCAUUUUAAGAAGUUCUGACAACCUCAUCAAAUUGUUCCUGUAAUUUCCAUUUUGUGUUCUUCCUUUCUAGUAGUUUCCCCCUCCUCAGUUCAGAUACUGUCACUCAGCAAUUCAUUUGACACAAUUGAACAUACUUUCUUUUUUCUUUUUCCUCCCCCAGCUGCAGCAGAUCCUCUUUUGGAGAUUCCCAGUAUUGUUCCUAAUUGCUUGUUUGCCCCUCCCCACAAAAAGGGUGUCAUAAUAUUCCCUUGUGACAGGUAAAAAAUAAGCUUUUUGUGUCUACACUGCAAAAUAAAUGUAAACCACUUUUGUAAUGUACGGAUCA